UACAGAGGUCCCAAGCGUUGUUCGGAUUCAUUGGGCGUAAAGGGUGCGUAGGCGGGCAGGUAAGUCCGUGGUGAAAUCUCUGAGCUUAACUCAGAAACUGCCAUGGAUACUAUUUGUCUUGAAUGUUGUGGAGGUAAGCGGAAUAUGUCAUGUAGCGGUGAAAUGCUUAGAUAUGACAUAGAACACCCAUUGCGAAGGCAGCUUACUACACAAAUAUUGACGCUGAGGCACGAAAGCGUGGGAGUCAAACAGGA
rnacentral:rRNA from 1 species